rnacentral:rRNA from 1 species
AGUGAACGCUGGCGGUAGGCCUAACACAUGCAAGUCGAACGGCAGCACAGGAGAGCUUGCUCUCUGGGUGGCGAGUGGCGGACGGGUGAGGAAUACAUCGGAAUCUACCUUUUCGUGGGGGAUAACGUAGGGAAACUUACGCUAAUACCGCAUACGACCUACGGGUGAACGUGGGGGACCGCAAGGCCUCACGCGAUUAGAUGAGCCGAUGUCCGAUUAGCUAGUUGGCGGGGUACUGGCCCACCAAGGCGACGAUCGGUAGCUGGUCUGAGAGGAUGAUCAGCCACACUGGAACUGAGACACGGGCCAGACUCCUGCGGGAGGCAGCAGUGGGGAAUAUUGGACAAUGGGCGCAAGCCUGAUCCAGCCAUAACGCGUGGGUGAAGAAGGCCUUCGGGUUGUAAAGCCCUUUUGUUGGGAAAGAAAUCCUGUCGAUUAAUACUCGGUGGGGAUGACGGUACCCAAAGAAUAAGCACCGGCUAACUUCGUGCCAGCCGCCGCAGUAAAAC